UAGACUCAAUAACUUCGGUCAGGUCAAUUAGUAGGUCAGAGUAAUUUACCGGAAUAAAUUAUCAGGACCUCACCGACUCUAAACACUCCUCAGUGUCUCUGGUUCCUCUGCAGGUCUGAGAGUCUCUGGUUCCUCUGCAGGUCUGAGAGUCUCUCCUGACGACAGAAACUGACUGCAGAUCAGCUGCUGGAAUCAGUUCAGUGUGUUCACCGUCACACACACACCUGUCUCACACACACACCUGUCUCACACACACACCUGUCUCAUACACACUCUGCACUGUGAAGCAGAUCUGUCUCAAACUUGUAUCCCUCUGAUUAACUUGGUCUCUACUCUUAAAGACACAUGUAACAUUUCUGUUUGGAUUCACAAAAUGGCGUCUUGUGUUUAUAAUGGUAAACAUCUGAAACCAAUUGCCUUCUUUUCUUCUUCUGGUAAUAUCUGGAAUCAUACUGUAAUGUUCUAAAUGUCAAACUGUGAUCUUUCUCUUUCAAUGUUUCUAAAUAUUGUUGAAUAAAAGACUCUCUCUUGAUUCUGA